rnacentral:rRNA from 1 species
GUUAAGUCAGGCAACGAGCGAGACCCACGUCCACAGUUGCCAGCGAUACCCUCCGGGGUGAUGGGGUACACUGUGGAGACCGCCGCUGCUAAAGCGGAGGAAGGAGUGGGCAACGGUAGGUCAGUAUGCCCCGAAUCUCCCGGGCUACACGCGGGGCUACAAUGGUUGGUACAAUGGGGCAUCUACCCCGAAAGGGGAAGGAAAUCUCUUAAAGCCAAUCGUAGUUCGGAUUGAGGGCUGCAACUCGCCCUCAUGAAGCUGGAAUCCGUAGUAAUCGCGUUUCAACAGAACGCGGUGAAUACGUCCCUGCUCCUU